GUCUACAGCCCAUGCCACCCUGAACAAGCCCGAUGUCUGAUCUCAGAAGCUAAGCAGGGUCGGGCCUGGUUAGUACUUGGAUGGGAGACCCUAGGAAGACCAGGUGCUGUAGGCA
rnacentral:rRNA from 1 species